rnacentral:siRNA from 1 species
UUGCAUAUUGAUUGUUACAUCUA